UUCAUUAUUAUUUUCUUUUUUAUUUCAUUUUAUUUCGUUUUAUUUAUUUAUUUAUUUUUUUAUUUUCUUUUAUUUUAUUUCUCUUUUAAGCACGUGCUUUCUCCUUCCGACUUCUACUUGUAUUUUUUUUCUUUUUGCUUUUUUUGUAUCCUUUUUCUUUUUUUUUUUUUUUUUUUUCUAUCAACCCAUUCGAACGAACACGUACUCCAUUCAAUAUUUUUCGAUUAACAAGCUGAAUGACACGUUACAAACAAUGUUGACAAACAAUUUUCUCGAGACUUUAUUUAUUUUUCAUAAUAUUUGUUGUAAGAUUUCUUUGGAUAGCAUUGCGAAGAGCGUAUCGUAUGCAUUCUCAUAAGAGUAAUGCGGAGCAAUGUAAAAAAAAAAUAAAAAGAAAAAAGCAAGUAUUACGAUGAAUAUCAUAUCACAUCUCUCGUGUAUCCUACAUGUACGAAAAAUUAAUGAGAGAGAGAGAGAGAGGGAAAGAGAGAGAAAGAGAGAGAGAGAGAGAGAGAGAGAGAGAGAGAAUGAAAGAGAGAAUCUGUCAGACAAGAUAGAUCGUUUGUUUUUUUUGUUUUCUUUUCUAUUUUCCUUGGAAUAAUCGAUUAAUAAACAGAAUUAUCUAGGAGAAAUCGCAAUAGAGAAACCGGAUUUAAUAUCUUCAUGUACCGUGAACAUAUGAUCACUUGCAAUUUCUUUUUUCUUUCUCUUUUCCUUUUUUUUCUUUCUUUUUUUUUUCUUAAUUUUUCUAUACAGAAAUAUAAUCGAUUGGAUCGAAAUAAAUAAGUUUUAUUUAAUCGUUUAUACAUAUAUUUAAUCGUGAUAUACAUAUUUGUACAUAUAAACGUUCAAACUCGUUUAAUCUUUUAUAUUUCUCGUACUACUAUUACUAUUACUAUUUACUAUUACAAGUACUACUACUAUUACUACACCACUACUAUUAGUGGUGUCCCAGUUAACUCGCACUCGUUUCCCUCCACAUUCAUCCUAAACACGUUCGUUUCCGUAUCUCGAGAUUUUACGAGUUCUUUAAACUAAACGCCCAGCUAAAAAUGCUGAUCUCUCUCUCUCUCUCUCUCUCUCUCUCUCUCUCUCUCUCCCUCUCCCUCUUUACCACGUAUACCACGGUAGAAAUAUUUCCCACACACAAACGAGAAAGUUUACCGUAACCGAUAUAGCCCUUCUCUUUAUCUCUUUCUCUCUUUCACUUUUUCUCUCUCUCUCUCUCUCUCUCUCUCUUUCUCUCUUUUCGCACGGAUCGAUAGCUUUUAGAAGGCGAACCGGAAGUAUUCUCGAACUCAUACUUGGAACAAAUGUCUAAGAGACGGACGUACUAUCUCAUUGAAUUUUCGGGGUGGCAUCCCUUUGAGUUCUCGCGUAUCUUGAUCACCCGACUAGAAAUUCCGCGAAAGUUCUGAAUUCCUUUCGGUAAGAGUUAAACCACACAUUACCCUGUAAGUCCCCAGGUCACCUAGAUUUUCCAACGGCUCGGAUCAUUUUCCAUCGAGAAACAAAAAAAAGAAGGAUACAAAAGGAAAAAGAAAAAAGAGAAAAGAAAAGAAAAGAAAAAAAAAUUACAAGAAAAAAAUAAUCGUGUCUACGUAUGCAUAACGCAUUUGUAUUAUCAUUUACAAUUUAUUUUCACGUGAUAACGUAGAUCUUAAAUUUUCAUUUGCAAAAUAUUAUUGUUGAUAAUAUUAUUGAGUUACACAUAAUUUAUUCGACGAACAAUAAUGUGUCGAAAUUCUUUUUUUUAUCAUGCCAUCGGAAUCUCUCUCUCUCUUUCUCUAUUCGCAAAAACGAGAAGGAGAGAGAGGAAGAGAGAGGGAGAGAGAGAGAGAGAGAGAGAGAGAGAGAGAGAAAGUAUAUUGUAGUUAGAAAAAAAUAAAAAGUAGAAAGGAAAGAUACAGAGAUAAAGGUAGAUAAAGGAUCUUGCAGUUUUCGUCGAAUAUUAUCGAAAAGCGAAACGAUCGAUAUCGUCAAAAACUACACCAGCCUUUUCUCCUUUUCUCUCACUCUCUCUCCCUCUCUCUCUCUCUCUCUCUCUCUCUCAAUCUCAAUCUCUUUUUCUCUCAGCAUCCAGCGCUAAUAUCCAGACGCGACUCGCUCGUGAGAGAAACUCGUGGAGGAGUGGAUGAGGUUGAAAGGGAGGAUGAGGGUGGUGGAAGGGCGGCGAUGACUCGGGGGCGGAAAUGGAGCAGUUCGAGUCCGGCGGGUCGGCGGACCACCCUCCACUCUCUCUCUCUCUCUCUCUCUCUCUCUCUCUCUCUCUCUCUUCCCUCUCUACUCUCUCUCUCCCUCUCUCUCUCUCUCUCUCUGUCUCUCUCUCUCUCUCUCUCUACGUUCCACUCCCACCUCAACCCCCAUCUCUAAACCACCCUCAACCUCUCCACUCUACACAGGCUCUGCUCGGCACUCCACCCACACGACGAGCACUCCCAACGAGCCGUUCAAGUGGAGAACCGCGGCAGCGAAACGAGGGACGGCACGAGCCCGUUCGAAUCCAAUAUACUGGGAACACCCGGUAUAUGAGAACGCGUAUCGCGCGGUACGCAUUAAAGAGGACCGAGUCUUAAAGAGGAUAAAACCGAACGAUUAUUUCUAGCAAAGAAUAGUGUCUCGUAAAGAACACAAAGGGAAGAAAAUGAUAUGAAAGAAAAAGAAAAAGAAGAAGACGAAGAAGGAGAAGAAAAAGGGAAAGGCUCGCCUUUGGAAUGGAUCAACCAAACGCAUUUCUAUUCCACCCACGCGACGCCAAGACGCGGACGUCUGUUUUCGCUCGAUGUGGUUUCCGGAGCUGAGCGUCUUUCCGCCUGCGAACUGCCCAAUCAAAAGAAGCGAAACGUUUUCCCUUGAUACGACUGAAUAGCCCUGACCGUUUUCGGGUUUCUCAUUAAGGAAGAGUAUUUUUUUCAAGGUCACAUUUUCCCGCCCAUAAUUCUCUAUCCUUUCGAGAGCCGCACAUCCUCCAUCUUUUUCUUUUUCCUCUUCUUUUUUUUCUUUUUAUUCUAAUUUUUUCUCCUCUUCUUCUAUUUCUUCUUCUUUUUAUUUUUGUUUUGUUUUCUUUUUUUUUUUUUUUUUCUUUUUUUUUCCAUAAAUCACGAACUCAGCUUUUCUUCUUCUUUUCACCAUUUCCUUUUCCUUUCGAGGGAUCUUAAUAAUUAAAAAAAAAAAACAAUUUUCCCAAGUAACGAUUUGUCGACUUUUUCAGAUCGACAGAUAAAUUCUAUACGUGAAAAUAGAAGAAGAAGGAUUUGUGUAGCCGAUAUUGUAUGGCCAGUAAUUAGCUAUUGUCAAACAAAUUUUCAGUUUUUUCCUUUUCAAGAGGAAUAGGAACGACCCGAUGGAUCCAUCGUCGUUGUAAGUUCCUAUGGGACGUUCCAUGGGAUCGAACGAUUCCGAACGUUGACGAUUCGGUAUUCCUUGAAGGUUCGGGUUUCGCUCGAUGAGAUAAGGGAUGGUAUGAGGAAUGGUAAGGGACGUGUGUAAUUCGAUCAGACCCUUCGCUUGAACGGCACUUUCCAUUGGUAAGACGACCAACUCUGGCAUCUCUCUCUCUCUCUCUCUCUCUCUUUCUUUCAUAUAUUAUAUAUAUAUAUCUUUUCUCUUUUCUUUCUUCACUCUUCUCUUCUCAUCUUUUCUCCUCUUGACAUCAAUUUUCCUUUUCUGUAAGUUCGUCCUUUGCGUACUCGGUUGCGAACGGCAAACGAUUCAAAGACGUCGUCGACACGCUUCGUCUCGUUGAAACGUUGAGAUAAAGAGAAAAGGACGAUUCUCGUUAACGAGAGAUGAAUCAUAAGCCCGCAUUUUCGUCGCUAACGAAUAAUGUAAUUUCGAUUGUUCCUGUCGGCAGUAUGAUCGUUUGAAAUUAAUCGUCGUUGUUAAUUACGCCGGGAUUUGUUCUUAAAACCUUAAAACCUUAGCGAAAAUUGUCGAGCAUUUUUAAAACGAUUCUUUAUAAAGGUAAGAACCUUUAAACUCGGCGAAAUAUUAAAGGAUACGAGUUUUUCUUUAUCCUUUUUUUUUCUUUUUGUUUUUUUUCGACACGGAAAAAUGUCUAAAAAAAAAAAAAAAAAAGAGAAAAGGGAAGGAAAAAAAAGAGAAAAAAAAUAUUCGACUUUGACUAAGGAUAAUCAAACGUUAUCUUUAAAUAAUUAAUUGAGCAUGUCCCUUCGUAAAUAUCAUUAAUAUAAAUCUUAUUAUUUUGCAUACGAUACGAAUAAUACUGUUCCCUAAACAUCCCUGAUUUUAUCGGACGAUCUCGAUCACAACACGAUUCUCGUUUUCAGUCGUUUGCAGGAUGAUAUGAAGAGGUAGGACGAAGAGGAUGUGCACGAGCACGAGCACGAGGAGGCGAAAGAGAAGGAGAAAAAUUGUGGGAGGUUGGAACAAAAUAAAGUGCGCUUGGGCUUUUUCAUGUUGUUCUCUUUCUGGUUGUCCGGAGUACGUGUCCAUGUAGAAGGACGAGCACACGUAACAUCGUUCAUUUUCAGGCACGGAAAAGCGGCAGCUCGUGCGUUCCCGUUGGCUACCAGGGAGGAGGGGAAAAAAUAGGAAAAAAGUGUCGACGAACGAGGGGCCACCGAAUUACGAAUGCAUAGAUCGUUGAAUAAAUAAUGAAAGGACAACGGAUACAUGAGUGUAUGCAUAGAUAUACGCACGCGCGUAAAUGGUUAACGUGUGCGUGCGUACAUGUAUGUAUGUACAUAUAUAUAUAUAUAUAUAUGUGUGUGUGUAUUUGUAUGUGUGCAUGGUUCGAUAGAAACGUUGGAACCGAUUGUUCCAACGAUCUCCAAUAUUUUUCACAUUUCUUAAAAUGAUCCAAUAUCUUAGAAUGAUCACGAUCUUUUAAUACAAGCGAUCACGAUUUAAUUCGCUUCUCUCAUUACAUAGAAAUUAUUAUAAUACUUUAAUAACAUUAUUUACAAACUUUUUAUUAAUGUACAAUUUUUAAUAUAGUAAAUAUUAUAAAUCCAUCUUAUUAAGUUCGUUAUAAUUAAAAUAUAAAAAAUAUAAUGAAUCGAUGAAAAUGAAUAAAGAUGAACGACGAAUGAAGGAUCUAGCACCGAUGUCACGAGUUUCGCAUGCUAUUAUCGCGUGGCACGUCAAUAGCGAGUUCCCGACAAAGAGGAUGACGUUCAGGGUGGAAUGAGGAGGAGGAGGAGGAGGAGGUUGUGGUGGUGGUGGAAGAUAGGGCCGGGGGGAGCGGGGAAGGGGGAGAAGGAGAGAAAAGAAGGAGAAGAGAAAGACGGACGACGUAAACCGAAUGACGAGAGAAGAUAGUCACAGCGGGUGGUAGUUAUGUCGUCGCUGGCUGCGUAUGACAGCGACAGAACCGAAGGCCAACCUCCUCCAUCUCCACAACCUUUUCCUCCUUCUUCACCUCCUCUUCCUCCUCAUCCACCUCCUCUCUUACCCGGACUCAACUCGACUCGAUUCUCCUCCCUCGAAUGUCCGCUUCUAGCGACGCUUCGAAUCCCUUCCAACCCCUGCGUUCGGUCAAACUUCCCAGACUACCGAGGCGCACUCGACAAUUACGAUCAAUUUCCUGGUCGUCGCCCUCUCUCUCUCUCUCUCUCUCUCUCUCUCUCUUUCUCUCUUUCUCUUUCUCUCGCUGGUUUUCGCUCUCUUGCUUUUUUUUUCGACGGAGCAAUUAAAAAAAAAAAAAGAAAAAAUAAAGAAAAAAAGAAGACAAUUUUUUACUUUCUACGACAUUCCCUACACGUCUUAUCGGAUAUGAGACGAAGAGAAACAAAAAGGGAAGUAAGUAAAAAAAAAAAAAGGAAGGAAGAGAGAGAAAGAAAGAAGGUAAAUGUUGAAACGUUUUUUCAAAAUCAUUAAAUACUUGUAUCGUUUCUCUUUC